GAAAUGCGAUAAGUAAUGUGAGUUGCAGAAUUCAGUGAAUCAUCGAAUCUUUGAACGCACCUUGCGCUCCUUGGUAUUCCUUGGAGCAUGCCUGUUUGAGUAUCAUGAAAUCUUCAAAGUAAAUCUUUUGUUAACUCAAUUGGUUUCUACUUUGGUAUUGGAGGUCUUUGCAGCUUCACACCUGCUCCUCUUUGUUCAUUAGCUGGAUCUCAGUGUUAUGCUUGGUUCCACUCGGCGUGAUAAGUUAUCUAUCGCUGAGGACACUGUAAAAGGUGGCCAAGGUAAAUGCAGAUGAACCGCUUCUAAUAGUCCAUUGACUUGGACAAUACUUUUAUGAUCUGAUCUCAAAUCAGGUAGGACUACCCGCUUAACUUAAGC
rnacentral:misc_RNA from 1 species